UCAAAUUACUCCGCCGGCCAACGUACUACUCCUUUGUCAGACCGAGCUCGUCUAGUCCACUUUUAUACAGCUAAGCUCUGCACGAACCUCGAGAUGAUCGAGCUCCCCAGCCUCGAUCACCUCCUUUAAAAUCACCGUGUCUGUCACACACAACUUGAAACCCCUAACCAUGCAUGUCUGUAAUAUUAGUUCAGGCUUUGCUUUUGCCCAUGUGACCCAAGUUUUGGUUUUUGUUUAGCCUGUCUGUGUUUUCUGUAGCAUCGAUUCCUCAUUCAUUACCCCAAAAAAAAAAAAAAAAAAACCUUUGUCAACUGUGUUCAGACUUCAGAACUCUCUUAGUUCUCUCCACCACCAUGACCACCAACACCACCGAAAAAGAGUCGACUGCAACAAAUCCCGACGAUAACAAUGAUGAAGUCAUCAUCUGGGGUUUGGGCGGACUUGGAAAUUAUGAAGGUCGAAUGGUACGUUUAACCUUGUGUUCCUUUCAAAUGGGAGGCUUGGGAAUGAGUUAUGUCUACACCGUUGGCUCGAAACUGCCAUAUAUCUCUUGCAUCUCUUGCCUCCGACUGGCCACCUGAGUGAUAAGGUUGGUGACCUUGGAAGCCUCACUGUCAUGCAAGAUAGUGUACUUACAACUUGCGCGGAGGCCCAAUACCAGAGAGAACCAGUGCACUUCGGCUCUGGUCAGGCAUGUCAAAGCCCCUGUGCAUCUGGUAAGUGUCUCUCUCUGAAUUGGUUGAUUGGGUUUUGGGUUGUGCGUGUUUUAAUUUUGGGUGGUGUUUAUUUGUUUGACUUUUGUUGAAGAUAGGAUAUUUGGGUUGUGGUUGACUUUUGUUGGGUUUUGGAGAUCUGGGUGAUUGGGAUACUUUGAGCUGGUUUUGAUUGUCUUUCAUGGUUUUGAUUUUGGGUUUUCUUUGUUGUGGCUGAAUUGGCUCAGUUGAGUAAGUAAUUAGCUUUUUGGGAUAUUUUGAAGAUUCGAUUUCUCAGUUCUCCCGCGACAAAUGCACAUAUGAAAUUCAGCAAUCCAAAUCCCAAAUUCUCUUCUGUUACACGCAGAUCUGGCGAAGAAGAAGAUGGCCUUAAAAUCAGCAUCUUAUAAUUACCUCAGCUAAUUGUUCAUGGAUCUUAGAUACACAGGUGAAGGCCUCUGUGACUGUUGAACGUGUCGAUUGACGCAGUCGGAAAGAUCACCUAAGGUUUACAAGCAAUAAACCUAGAACAAAGUUUCUAGAGUCCACCAGAGAUAAAAGAGAUAAUUCUCAAUUUGAUUGAUAAUAUGAUAAAAGAUAGGUUCUGCAGCCGUUUAAGGUUGCAUAUAUAUGAGAAAAGAAACCCUAGGGCGACUAACAAUAAAACCCUAAAGCCCACGGGUAAAAAUAAAACAAAUCCAAAACAAACUAGGAAAUUGAAAAUUCUGAAAAACAGUAAAUUGCAGUUUUGAGACCUUAAACGACCCCGAAAACCCGAAAAAGCCCACACGUCAUGGCAUAGCGACGAGUUUUGUUCCUGGCGCGAUUCCCUUUCCGGAAAGCUAUGGCACAAUCGAAUCGGACACCGAAUUCCAAAGUUACAAUAGUAACUUUGGUUUUCCUCCUUUUGCACGAUCGAGCUGCUCUUCAAUUCGGACUGCCAUCCGUUCUACAUCAAUUCGCAUCCCUCUUAGAUUGAUUUGCUAAUCUUACUGGCAUUGUCUUGUAGGAAUUCAUAACAUGCAAACAAAGACGGAAUCUCUACAUAACUCAAGUGAACGUGGCAUUGGCAACGCUAGUAUUAUGUACAAACCAAAAAUUCAUAGCUCUAUCGUGUGAAUU